rnacentral:rRNA from 1 species
UGCUAAUAACCGGAAUAACAACAAGAUGAUGCCUAUCAACUAGUUUAAAAGUAAUGGUUCUGCUAUCACUCUUGGAUGGACCUGCGGUGCAUUAGCUAGUUGGUAGGGUAACGGCCUACCAAGGCGAUGAUGCAUAGCCGAGUUGAGAGACUGAUCGGCCACAUUGGGACUGAGACACGGCCCAAACUCCUACGGGAGGGCAGCAGGC